GGAGUUGUGGUUUGGUGGUAGAGUGCUUGCCUAGCAUGCAAGAGGCACUGGGUUUGAUCCCCGGCACCA
rnacentral:tRNA from 1 species